ACGCUGCCGGUCCUCGGACUUCGGCUCGGCUCGUGUGGCCGGCCGGGCGCUGGUCUCCCUCGCCAGGGCGGAGGUGGAAGGCGCUGGGCAUGCAGGGCGCUCCUGUCGCCGGGGAUUCCAAUCUGAAGGCCGGGCCGGGCCUAACAGUUUUUGGCCAGAGGGAGGCCGCUUCUCGCUGCCCUCUGCGGGAGAAAAAGGCCGGGGCCUUCACGCCCUUGAACCCCCGGGGGGCGGGUGGGGCGGAGGGCUGAGGAUGUGUCGAUGGUGACCUUUGCUGUAGGGCGUCCUGGGGGCCUGGGCGAGACCUCUACCCGAAGAGGCUUCCUAGCAGCUGGCAGGAUCGGAACAGUGAUCUGCCCAGCCGAUGGAAUCCCCCCCCGAAUCUUUUAAGAUCCCCAACUCGACCUGACUUAGGAGCCAAGUGCCGUCGGGGUCUGGCGGGGUAGCGGUCGUCGCCCUGACGGAGGCCGAAGGCUGAAGUCUCACCGGUAAAUCCAAUCCCGCGCCCAGGACGCCCUUUCUGGCUGAGAAGAGAAAGGGCUGGCAAUGGGCCGGGGCCCCCUAAGAACCUCUGAUUCGACCGGGCAGAGGGUAACCGCCCUCCCCUGCCGCCCCCGGAUGCUGCGAUGGGUGCCAGUCAGCGCUUUCGCCCAGGGCUGAUCCGAGCAGGGAAAGCGGCGGUGGCAGUUUGGAGCAUCCGCCUCUCCCCUUCCUCAAUCGGCGGCCUCAAAGCUGCCCAGGCUCGGACGCUCUUCUGGCGUAACUGGAGCGGGUCCAAUUUACUGGCGGGGCUGGGUGGGAAAAGACAACCAACAGGUGAAUUUCCCCAGGCUGCCUAGGCAGGUGAGGUCCUGCUUUUCCUAACGAAAAUGUCCCUGUGAUCCAAGGGCUCCUUGGUUAUUUGGGCCAGGAAUGUCUUUGGACUGGGGAGCUUCCCUCUUUCUCCCCCUCUCUCAGGAGGAAAUGACCCACUUUGCAGGCGCUGCCAUUUAAGCCUUGGGAGUGGAUCCAAAAUGGUUAACUGGAGGUUUUUGCCCUUAAGCCAGAAGGGUUGAGAGAGCAGCAGGCCAGGGAGGAACAAUUCAAGGAGCUGAAGCAAGAAAGAAGCGCUUCCCUGGCCCUGAGCUGUGGAAGGCUCCCCAUUCGUUUGGCUGGUUUGGAGAAGGCACCAAUCAAGAACAUGAGCAGAUCCGUACAUAAAUCCACCUAAUUUAAAAUUCAAGAUAUGUUCUACCAAAACACUGGAAAAAUAUAAAGGCCAAAGUCUUUCUUUGAAUCGGUGGCAUUUGAAAGUGUGGAAACAGCACUGGAUGAAUAAUACAACAGCAAAAUGGGUUAAUUAAAACUGCUUUAUUUAUAUUUAGCUUCCAUUUUUAGUAAUAUCAAUGGAGUAAUUUCUGAUAACUUCCAUCUAUUUUUAAUGAAAAUAAUUGAAUGUACAUGUUUAAAAUUCUCAAUUUCACUUUUAAAUUUUGAAAUGUACUAAACAUAUAUACUGGUAAAAUGUAUGUUUUAAAAAACUUUGUAUAGUUUCUCUUUUUUGCUUUUAUAAACUUUUCCCACGUUAAA